GUUCUAAAUUAGCAGUCAGUAAAAGCGUAUUUUGUUUCAGUUCAUGCUCUCAUCGAUUACAAUCAAUGUUUAUAGAUGAAAACAUUGAUUGUUGAAUUUUGAAUUACCUAUCAAUCACAGAACUUACUGAUUUAUAUCACAUCAUAUUUAUUUGUAAAUCAAAAACUAUGCAAUGAUACAUCGCAUAGUUCUAUGGAUAGCAUAGUUUGCUAAAGUAGCUUUAGGAUCAAAUUACAGACUUCUCAUGAUCCUGCAGGUAAAAUAAUCCUGGUAGUCCUUGGUAGUCUGUUACUCAGGCCAUGGGAAGUCUCUAUCCACAGUUUGGUCCCAAGAGAUCAACUAGAAUGGGAAGCUUUAUGAAACAGACAAACAUUAUAUAUAUAUGUAGCCUUGACUUACAAUGGAAUUUUGUUUCAAAAAUUUCAAAUUCUAUCAUUGUAAGUCAGAAAUGUCCAAAAUUUAUGGAUGUCUCACUACUAAUGUUUACUAAGUCACUAUAUAUAUUAUCUUAAUAAAAAUAAAGAACACAAAACUAGAAGAAUUAGACACAAAAAAAGGAUGAUUUCCAUAUAUCAGAU
rnacentral:lncRNA from 1 species